rnacentral:rRNA from 1 species
GAUGAACGCUGGCGGCGUGCCUAAUACAUGCAAGUCGAGCGAAUGGAUUAAGAGCUUGCUCUUAUGAAGUUAGCGGCGGACGGGUGAGUAACACGUGGGUAACCUGCCCAUAAGACUGGGAUAACUCCGGGAAACCGGGGCUAAUACCGGAUAACAUUUUGAACCGCAUGGUUCGAAAUUGAAAGGCGGCUUCGGCUGUCACUUAUGGAUGGACCCGCGUCGCAUUAGCUAGUUGGUGAGGUAACGGCUCACCAAGGCAACGAUGCGUAGCCGACCUGAGAGGGUGAUCGGCCACACUGGGACUGAGACACGGCCCAGACUCCUACGGGGGCAGCAGUAGGGAAUCUUCCGCAAUGGACGAAAGUCUGACGGAGCAACGCCGCGUGAGUGAUGAAGGCUUUCGGGUCGUAAAACUCUGUUGAUAGGGAAGAACAAGUGCUAGUUGAAUAAGCUUGCACCUUGACGGUACCUAACCAGAAAGCCACGGCUAACUACGUGCCAGCCGCCGCCGUAA